rnacentral:tRNA from 1 species
GGCUCCAUAGCUCAAUGGCAGAGCACGCGACUCAUAAUCGUUUGGUUGUAGGUUCGAAUCCCACUGGAGCCA